AACCUAUACCUAAUUUUAGGGGGGAAAAUUAGAACUAUUUAACUUAUUCCGAUUUUAGGGAAAAAAAAGCUGUUACAUUCUGAAUCUUUUAGAAUGAUUUACUUAAUUAGUUUUCGUGUGUACAGGCAAUAAACAUAACUUCUGUAUCUCUCCUUGCAGUCGAGAAAUUAUCAGAUAUUUCUCCAAUAUUUUUUAUUGGUUUGUUGAAGGCCUUGGCAGUUUUCUUUCCCAUGCACAUAUA